AUAUUUACCUGGCAGGAAACAUACCAUGAUUACUAAGGUGGUUUUCCAUUGCACUCUGGAUGCAAUGUGGGAAACUCAACUGCAUAAUUUGUGGUAGUGGGGACA
rnacentral:snRNA from 1 species